GCCGCCCGGCGGCUGGCGUCUUAGCCUCGCUGCGGCCGCCCGGGGACGCUAAAGCCCGGCGUUUCCGGGCAGCGCAAAUGUCCGUUUGUAAAACAGCAGGGCUGGAGUCUGCAGGAUUAAGGAAGCCUGGGAGGCGCAGAAUUUCCAGCGUUUUCACCUUAGAGCCAGCCUCGCCAGGGCCAAACCACCCAGUAGCCUGACUGCCAGCAGCCUCGGCAGGGAGGAAUAAAAUUUUUUCAUCUAUAAUUCAGAAGCUAAGUAAAUAACAAAAUGAAGCCAGUAAAGCAUCUGUUGGCAUCUAGUAGUAAAUUGGCAAAUGUUCCAGAAUUAACGUAUAAAAAAGGAGUAUUUAAUUCACCAUUGUCGCCUAAACCAAAAGAAAAACAUAGUACAAAAUUAGUACGUGAUAAACUUGAACCAGUGGUCUUAAGAUCUCCACCAACAGGGGAAUCCAUCAUAAGGUAUGCUUUGCCCAUUCCAUCAAGUAAGACAAAGGAGUUAAUAGCAGAAGAUGAAUUGAUCAGGAAAAUUACCAAACAUCUGAAGAUGGUUGUUUCUACUUUGGAAGAAACCUAUGGAUUUAGCAUUCCAAAUGGAGAAGAACCAGUUGUGAAGCCUGUACAUGAAGGAUUAACCUUUCCUGUUGGGGAUGAUCUGAAUUCAUUCUUGGUAUGUUGUUCACAAUUUGCAGCUCAGUUAGAAGCAGCAGCUAAGGAAGAACGUAAUAUUUUGGAAUCUCUUUUUAAGUGGUUUCAGCGACAGGUCAAUCAGAUGGAAGAGAUAAGUAAAGAUCAAACUUUUUCAGCAGAGUUUCCAGCACCUGAUAAAACAGUCAGUUUAAGCAUUGCACAAAUAGUAAAGCAGGUGCACAAACUUGAAGAACUGAAAAAUCGCCUUAAAGAAGGGUCUAAAUUCUCCUUCAAAGACAUGUCAUCUAAACCCAAGGAUAGUGAAAUUCCACCAGAAGAAGUGCAGACUUAUGAAGCUGUACAGCAGAAAAUUGAAGAAUUCAUAAAAACACACUCAACUGAAGAAAUUACAGGUGUUUCUGCGACUGAGCCACUAGAAACUUCUACAAUGACUAAUCGAUUGAAUACCAUGUUGAAAAUAUUUGAAAAUCAGGCAAAUAAAUUAGAGAGAGCUAUGAAUGAGCAAGUUUUGUUAGAGGCUAAAAACACACAGAUUCAAAGUGACCUCCAAGUGUUGUCAGAGGAGAAACUGAUGCUGGAAAAUGAACUACAAAAGUUGAAGAGUACAGAGAAAACAAAGGCUACAAGUGAGCGACGAAAGAAAACUAUGAAAAUGGAGAAGAAAAAAGACGAAGGAAUAUCUGAAGAUUCAGAAGAGAAGAAGUCUAUAGUGAAAGAGCUUAAAGUAAAAGAAGAUAUGCCUCAAGUCCAGAAAGUAACACAUGCUCUGAAAAUUGAGAACCGAGUUCUUCGGGAACAACUGAAACAAGCUUUACAGGAAGCUGAAAGAGCUAAGGAGCAACUUGGCUAUUUCCAAAAUCAAGAAAUGGAGUUACUUAAAAGUGAGGGAAAGACCAAGACAACAGAAAUGGGUAUUGAUAAAAUAGAAGUUAAAGGUGAAGAUUCAAAAUAUAUACCAUUGGAGAAAGACACAAGAAAAACACUAGUGGCAGAUUCAGGUGGACAAAAAAAAAAUGAUAAAAUUAAACAUCCACAGACCCAUGAUAAAUCACUUACAAGAAUAUUAUUGAGCAAAGAAAUUCAAGAUUCACAGUCUGUUGGAACAUUGCUUCAAGGGAAUGAAACAGUGACAGCAUCAUUCAUUUCACCCCCUGUUGUUAAAAUAAAGACUCUGGGUACUGACAUCUCAAAGGCUGAUAUUUUAGAAGAGAAUUUACGAAGUAAGAUUAAAAAACAAACUUACGAAGAAGCAAGAGAAUUUCAAGAUGUGGAACCCGCAGAUACAGAGGGCCAGCUGUACUUAGAGAAAUAUCAUUCCUCCUGUACUCCCCAGUCCUCCUGUCACCCCCUUGACGCUCCUGAUAAAGAAUCAGAUGAAAAUCUUCUGCUUGAGAAUGAAGCAGUGCCAAAAACUAACACACAAAUGUUGAAACUAAGAACUUCUAGAACAAAUAGACGCAGUGCAUUUCUUAUAACUCAGCCAAAGGAUAUGCUGUCUAUUCAAGAUCAAUUGCCUGAGGACAUAGCUUUAAUUUUAAAAGGCCAGUCUCAAAUUAAUGAUGGAGCUACAGGAAGUGACAGUUUUGAUAGUUAUGAUGAAGCAUCAGAUGAAAAGCUUAUGCUUAACCAUAAGGAUUCAGUGUCAAAAACCCAAACACAAGUAAAGAAACAAAGAACUCUCAAAAGGGAAAGACUCUCUACUCAUGAUAUAGUACCAGAUAAAAAGCUUAUGCAUGAGAAUCAAGGUUCAGUGUCAAAAAUCCAACAGCAAGUAAAGAAAGAAAGAAAUCUCAGAAGGGAAGGACACACUACUCAGUUUGAAGUACCAGAUGGAAAUCUUCUCUAUGAGGAUCAAGACUCAAUAUCAAAAACAAAAAUGCAAGUAAAUACACAAAGAACAUUCAAAGCUCAUCAUAAAGUACCAGAUGAAAAUCCUGUGCUUGAGCAUGGAGACUCAAUGUCAGAAACUCAACUGGAAGUAAAGAAACAAAGACCUUCUAAAGGAGAAAGACUCAAUACUCAUGAUAAAGCAUCAGAUGAAAAUCUUAUGCGUGAGCAUCAAGAACCAAUGUCAAAAACCCAAAUGCAACUAAAGAAACAAAGAGAGAAAAGACAAACUCAGGAUGAAGUACCAGAUGGAAAUCAUAUGCUUGAGCAUCAAGAUUCAGUGUCAGAAUCAGAGAUUCGAGUGAAGAAACAAAGCCCUCACAAAGGGGAAAGACAUAUUACUCAUGAUGAUGCACCAGACAAAAAUCCUAUGCUUAAAGAUCAAGAGUCAGUGUCAAAACUCCCCAUGCAAGUACAAAAACAAAUAACUUCCAGAGGAGGACAACACAGUAGUCAUAUUGGAGUACUGGGUGAAAAUCUUAUGCUUGUAAAUCAAGAUUCAGUGUCAAAACCCCAAAUGCAAGUAGAGAAACAAAUACCUUACAGAAAGGAGAGGAGUCAUAGUUAUUAUGGAGUACCAGAUAAAAAUCCUGUGCUUGUGAAACAAGUUUCAGUUUCAAAACCCCAAAUGCAAGUAAAGAAACAAAUAACUUCCAGAGAGGAGAGACGCAAUACAUUUCCUCUUCAAAACGAGAAAAACGAUACGAUAACACUUGAAAAUCUACCUCCUGAGAAGAAAGGUUUAUUUUCAAGAAACCAGUCUCAAACUAAGAACCUUAGAGCUAUCAGACAGGAGAAUCUUGAUACUCAGAAAGCAGAAGACGUAUUACCCGAGGAUGAAGUUGAAUUGUCAAAAAGCCAAUCUCAGACUAAGAAACUUAGAGCUGUCAGAAUGAAAGCACUAAAUAGUCAAGAUGUGGAUGAACUCUCAGAUGAGAAUUUUAUACUUGAAGAUCUAGUACUAGCUAAAGGAUACAAGGAUAAAAUUCAAACAAGUGGAGUUUAUGAGUCUCAAAAAUUGAGAGUUAAAAAUGAAGCAGCCUCAGAACAUCCAGAUAUAGCAGAAAAUCUUCCAGCAGUGAAUCCAUCAGUUAAUGACCUAAUAUUUCAAUUAGGUUUAAACAAAGUGGUAGAAAUUGAUCUAGAACACUUGAAAGAUACUGUUGGAAGACGUUUAUUAAUGGCAGAAAUGAAGAUACAACCAAAGAGUGUCCCUGACACUGAUACAGAGAGCUUUCCAGAUGCUAUUGGAAGAGGUAUAAUAAAGGGUGAAAUCAAGACACAAUCCAAGAGUCAUCCUGAGACUGGUAUAGAACGCAUGAGAGAUACUGUUGGAAGAGAAAAAGCAGUUGGUGAAAUCAAGACACAUCAUCAGAGUCACCCUGAGACUGAUACAGAACGCUUCCCAAAUGUUGUUGGAAGAAGUAUUAUGAAGGGUGAAUUCAAGACACAACCCAAGAGUCGUCUUGGGACUAAUGUAGAAGGCUUGACAGAUAAAACUAGAAGAGGUGUAAUAAAGGGACAAUUCAAGGUACAAUCAAUGAAUCUCCCUGACACUGAUACAGAGCGCUUCCCAGAUGCUGCUGGAAAAGGUAUAAUAAAAGGUGAAAUCAAGACACAAUCCAAGAGUUAUCCUGAGACUGAUACAGAACGCAUGACAGAUACUGUUGGAAGAGAAAAAACAAUUAAUGAACUCAAGAAACAUCAUAAGAGUCACCCUGGUAUGAGUUUAUUUAAAAACAAAAAUGCAUUCUCACAUCAAGAAGAUUUCUACGCCAGGCACAUUGCACCAAGUAAAUAUAAAACAAAAGUGAUUAAUUUAUCACCCUUUGAUGAUGAAGUCCCAGGCAAGGUCAAUAGAAGGAGUCAGCAUGAGGGGCAUCGAAAAAAUUUGACCUUAAACAAAAAGAAAGGGGAACUUGAUACUCUGCCUGCUGUGAUCGCUACAGCUAGAAAACCUAUCUAUAAAGUGCCAUAUACUGCUACCCGAAAAUCUCUACCCCGCCCAUACUUUUGAGAAUAAAUUAAUUCUGGGCAAAAUAAAUAACAUGAGCAAAUUCGUCGAGACAGCAAUGAAAUUGCAAGAGUGGAAGCCUUAUGAAAAUAACACUGCCUUGAGUGGAUGCUGCUUAUUGAACAAUAAUGAGAAAGAUCCUGAAUAAACAGGGUAGACCCAGAUCAUGGAGGUAGUAAAAAAGAAGUACAACUUACAUGGCAAGAAGAAAUCAUCAAUUGAGUGAGCAUAAAGUAUCAGUCAAGAGAAAAUAAAUGGAGGAAUUCUUCACUAAUUACUGAUUAUUCUCUGAAACUGUGAAAGGUCCCAGAGAACUCUUCUUUACCAUGUGGAACAAAUUUGAAGCUAAGAUAAAAGCCUCUGUUGCUGAUGUUAAGAAAGGAGAUCUCUGUUGAAGUUCCAACUUGCUUCUGUUCACUCAUGUCCCUGUAAUGCCUUCUGGUGUGGUGUAAAAGCAAUUAAAUGAAAUUUGUGCUCUGCAUGUCUUGAUAAUGUCAUAAUUAUUUGUGUCAAUUAUUUGCAAAUCUAUUCUUUAUGAUACUAUAUAGAGAAAAGUCACUGCCAUACAUUUCUUACACUUCCAGAU